rnacentral:rRNA from 1 species
CUACCCUUGACAUGGCAGGAAUCCCGAAGAGAUUUGGGAGUGCUCGCAAGAGAACCUGCACACAGGUGCUGCAUGGCUGUCGUCAGCUCGUGUCGUGAGAUGUUGGGUUAAGUCCCGCAACGAGCGCAACCCUUGUCAUUAGUUGCUACGAAAGGGCACUAUAAUGAGACUGCCGGUGACAAACCGGAGGAAGGUGGGGAUGACGUCAAGUCCUCAUGGCCCUUAUGGGUAGGGCUUCACACGUCAUACAAUGGUACAUACAGAGGGCCGCCAACCCGCGAGGGGGAGGUAAUCCCAGAAAGUGUAUCGUAGUCCGGAUUGUAGUCUGCAACUUGACUACAUGAAGUAGGAAUCGCUAGUAAUCGCGGAUCAGCAUGUCGCGGUGAAUA